GGUAACAGUGCCGCUCAUCUGGGUCCUCAGACCACAGACCCAGAGUCCCCAGGGCCCUCUCCCCUCUGACACGCGCCUGCAGGAUCCUGACAGCUCCUCCUCCCAGCCACACAUUCCCCGGCAUGGAGCCACAGGCAGCACACGGCCACUGUCCUGAUGCCCUCGCUCUCGCCAGUGGUCACCAUUCAGCCAGCAUUGCCCCAUGGCCUGUCCUCCGUGGCGGUCUCUCCUCUGCUCAGACUUUUAGCCAUCUGCACAGGCUUCUGAAGCAUAAACCACGUCACUUCUGUCUGGUUUUCCUCCAUCACGAACGCAAAACCUGUAGUAGACUCAGCAGGGCAGCUCGUCCACAUCCCCCGCUUUGUUAGUAGAUUUCUCAGACACUGAGACGAAGAUGGAGCCAGCCUCACCCCUGGAUGCAAAGCCGUGGCUCUGCGUUGUCACCGACACACAGAGCACCCAAAGCUGUGCAGCGGCAGCCCCAGGACCACGGGGCGUCCCUGGCGGGCGUGCUCAGGCAGGCGCCGCCUCUUCACAUCACACUUUCACUUCAUACGACGCCACGUAGGCACAGGGAUGUCUCCCCAGAGCCAGGGCCCUGCCUGCCCGCCGCGGUCCCGUACCCAGAUCCUCAUGGGCAUGAGAAGCUCCUCCUUCCCCACGCCACACAGCGCUGUCCCAACCGGCCACAGACCAAGCCUGUGGCUGUGUUCCCCUCACGGGGGCCAGUCCCGGUAUCCUGCCCCCCGGGACAGAAAGUCCCAGCUGGGGGGCCCACGGAGCUGAGUUCCUCGGGCAAGUUCCUCAUUCUGUCCCCUUUUCUGGGCCAUAAUAAAGC